GAUGAACGCUGGCGGCGUGCCUAAUACAUGCAAGUCGAGCGAACAGAUAAGGAGCUUGCUCCUUUGACGUUAGCGGCGGACGGGUGAGUAACACGUGGGUAACCUACCUAUAAGACUGGGAUAACUUCGGGAAACCGGAGCUAAUACCGGAUAAUAUUUCGAACCGCAUGGUUCGAUAGUGAAAGAUGUUUUUGCUAUCACUUAUAGAUGGACCCGCGCCGUAUUAGCUAGUUGGUAAGGUAACGGCUUACCAAGGCGACGAUACGUAGCCGACCUGAGAGGGUGAUCGGCCACACUGGAACUGAGACACGGUCCAGACUCCUACGGGAGGCAGCAGUAGGGAAUCUUCCGCAAUGGGCGAAAGCCUGACGGAGCAACGCCGCGUGAGUGAUGAAGGUCUUCGGAUCGUAAAACUCUGUUAUUAGGGAAGAACAUACGUGUAAGUAACUGUGCACGUCUUGACGGUACCUAAUCAGAAAGCCACGGCUAACUACGUG
rnacentral:rRNA from 1 species